rnacentral:rRNA from 1 species
CCUACGGGAGGCAGCAGUGGGGAAUAUUGGGCAAUGGGCGCAAGCCUGACCCAGCAACGCCGCGUGAAGGAAGAAGGCUUUCGGGUUGUAAACUUCUAUUAAGAGGGAAGAGCAGAAGACGAUACCUCUUAAAUAAGCCACGGCUAACUACGUGCCAGCAGCCGCGGUAAUACGUAGGUGGCAAGCGUUGUCCGGAUUUACUGGGUGGAAAGGGCGUGUAGCCGGGCUGACAAGUCAGAUGUGAAAUCCGGGGGCUCAACCCCCGAACUGCAUUUGAAACUGUUGGUCUUGAGUAUCGGAGAGGCAGGCGGAAUUCCUAGUGUAGCGGUGAAAUGCGUAGAUAUUAGGAGGAACACCAGUGGCGAAGGCGGCCUGCUGGACGAUAACUGACGGUGAGGCGCGAAAGCGUGGGGAGCAAACAGGAUUAGAUACCCCUGUAGUC